ACCUGUGGCCAUACCACCCUGAAAGCGCCCGAUCUCGUCUGAUCUCGGAAGCUAAGCAGGGUUGGGCCUGGUUAGUACCACCUGGAUGGGAGACCGCCUGGGAAUACCAGGUGUUGUAGGCU